CGUGUGGCAAAUAUUUGCACAAUCGGCAAGCUAGUGCGCAUGCGGGUUAUGAGAUGCCUUCGGUUGUAAGUACUUCAGCGGGAGGAAGUGUUGCGUAUACGGCAGCCAUGACGUACCCGCAGAGAGCACGCCUACUCCGUGCCAGCAGCGCGUAAUACGGAGGGUGCAAGCGUAAUCGGAAUUACUGGGCGUAAAGCGCACGCAGGCGGUCUGUCAAGUCGGAUGUGAAAUCCCCGGGCUCAACCUGGGAACUGCAUUCGAAACUGGCAGGCUAGAGUCUUGUAGAGGGGGGUAGAAUUCCAGGUGUAGCGGUGAAAUGCGUAGAGAUCUGGAGGAAUACCGGUGGCGAAGGCGGCCCCCUGGACAAAGACUGACGCUCAGGUGCGAAAGCGUGGGGAGCAAACAGGAUUAGAUACCCUGGUAGUCCACGCCGUAAACGAUGUCGACUUGGAGGUUGUGCCCUUGAGGCGUGGCUUCCGGAGCUAACGCGUUAAGUCGACCGCCUGGGGAGUACGGCCGCAAGGUUAAAACUCAAAUGAAUUGACGGGGGCCCGCACAAGCGGUGGAGCAUGUGGUUUAAUUCGAUGCAACGCGAAGAACCUUACCUACUCUUGACAUCCAGAGAACUUUCCAGAGAUGGAUUGGUGCCUUCGGGAACUCUGAGACAGGUGCUGCAUGGCUGUCGUCAGCUCGUGUUGUGAAAUGUUGGGUUAAGUCCCGCAACGAGCGCAACCCUUAUCCUUUGUUGCCAGCGGUCCGGCCGGGAACUCAAAGGAGACUGCCAGUGAUAAACUGGAGGAAGGUGGGGAUGACGUCAAGUCAUCAUGGCCCUUACGAGUAGGGCUACACACGUGCUACAAUGGCGCAUACAAAGAGAAGCGAACUCGCGAGAGCAAGCGGACCUCAUAAAGUGCGUCGUAGUCCGGAUUGGAGUCUGCAACUCGACUCCAUGAAGUCGGAAUCGCUAGUAAUCGUAGAUCAGAAUGCUACGGUGAAUACGUUCCCGGGCCUUGUACACACCGCCCGUCACACCAUGGGAGUGGGUUGCAAAAGAAGUAGGUAGCUUAACCUUCGGGAGGGCGCUUACCACUUUGUGAUUCAUGACUGGGGUGAAGUCGUAACAAGGUAACCAAGGGCGAAUCGCGCGCUAUC
rnacentral:rRNA from 1 species